rnacentral:rRNA from 1 species
UAACCACCGGCUAACUCCGUGCCAGCAGCCGCGGUAAUACGGAGGGUGCGAGCGUUAUCCGGAAUCACUGGGUUUAAAGGGUGCGUAGGCGGUUUGAUAAGUCAGUUGUGAAAUUCCUCGGCUUAACCGAGUGGACUGCGAUUGAUACUGUCAGACUUGAAUCAGGUUGAGGUAGGCGGAAUGUGACAUGUAGCGGUGAAAUGCUUAGAUAUGUCAUAGAACACCGAUUGCGAAGGCAGCUUGCUGGGCUUAGAUUGACGCUGAGGCACGAAAGCGUGGGGAGCAAACAGGAUUAGAUACCCUGGUAGUCCACGCCCUAAACGAUGUUUACUUGCUGUUCCUGUCUUGUAUGGGAGUGGCGAAGCGAAAGCGAUAAGUAAACCACCUGGGGAGUACGCCGGCAACGGUGAAACUCAAAGGAAUUGACGG